UACGAAGGGUGCGAGCGUUUAUUCGGAUUGACUGGGCGUAAAGGGUACGUAGGUGGUAUACUAAGUCUACUGUUAAAUUCUUCAGCCUAACUGAAGACAUGCAGGAGAUACUGGUAAACUAGAGAGUGGAAGAGAGAAGUGGAAUUCUCGGAGUAGCGGUAAAAUGCGUAGAUCUCGAGAGGAACACCGAUGGCGAAGGCAGCUUCUUGGUCCAUUUCUGACACUGAGGUACGAAAGCGUGGGGAGCAAACAGG
rnacentral:rRNA from 1 species